rnacentral:rRNA from 1 species
AGAGUUUGAUCCUGGCUCAGGACGAACCGCUGGCGGCGCGCUUAAUACAUGCAAGUCGAGCGAGGUUACUACGACAGAAUCCUUCGGGAUGAAGUUGUUUUAACCUAGCGGCGGACGGGUGAGUAACGCGUGGGCAACCUACCCUAAAGUCUGGGAUAACAGCGGGAAACUGCUGCUAAUACCGGAUAUCUUUAACCGGGGGCAUCUUCGGUUAAAGAAAGAAGCAAUUUGCUUUAGGAUGGGCCCGCGUCCCAUUAGCUAGUUGGUGAGGUAACGGCUCACCAAGGCGACGAUGGGUAGCCGGCCUGAGAGGGUGAACGGCCACACUGGGACUGAGACACGGCCCAGACUCCUACGGGAGGCAGCAGUAGGGAAUAUUGCGCAAUGGAGGGAACUCUGACGCAGCGACGCCGCGUGAGCGAUGAAGGUUUUCGGAUCGUAAAGCUCUGUCCUUGGGGAAGAAGGGUGCGAAGCAUCUUGACGGUACCUAAGGAGGAAGCCCCGGCUAACUACGUGCCAGCAGCCGCGGUAAUACGUAGGGGGCAAGCGUUGUCCGGAAUUAUUGGGCGUAAAGGGUGCGUAGGCGGCCUUUUAAGUCAGAUGUGAAAGACCACGGCUUAACCGUGGGGUUGCAUUUGAAACUGGAGGGCUUGAGUAUCGGAGAGGGUAGUGGAAUUCCCAGUGUAGCGGUGGAAUGCGUAGAUAUUGGGAGGAACACCAGUGGCGAAGGCGACUACCUGGACGAAAACUGACGCUGAGGCACGAAAGCUAGGGGAGCAAACAGGAUUAGAUACCCUGGUAGUCCUAGCCGUAAACGAUGGGUACUAGGUGUAGGAGGUUUCGAUACCUUCUGUGCCGCAGUUAACGCAAUAAGUACCCCGCCUGGGGAGUACGUGCGCAAGCAUGAAACUCAAAGGAAUUGACGG